UACAGAGGGGGCAAGCGUUGUUCGGAAUUACUGGGCGUAAAGGGCGCGUAGGCGGCCUGUUAAGUCGAACGUGAAAUCCCCGGGCUCAACCCGGGAACUGCGUCCGAUACUGGCAGGCUUGAAUCCGGGAGAGGGAUGUGGAAUUCCAGGUGUAGCGGUGAAAUGCGUAGAUAUCUGGAGGAACACCGGUGGCGAAGGCGGCAUCCUGGACCGGUAUUGACGCUGAGGCGCGAAAGCCAGGGAAGCAAACGGG
rnacentral:rRNA from 1 species